rnacentral:ncRNA from 1 species
UAGGUAGGCGCAGGCGAUACCUUUGGCAUGGCUGUGACCCAUGAAAGCACCGCAGGGAUGGGCGGCAUAAGAAGUGCUGGCGAUCUGGUGUUCAGAAUG